ACGCCUAACACAUGCAAGUCGAACGAAGUAGCAAUACUUAGUGGCAGACGGGUGAGUAACAUGUAGGUAUCUGCCCUUUGGCCUGGAAUAACACGAGGAAACUUGUGCUAAUACCGGAUAAGUCUUUACGGAGAAAGCUUUAUGCACCAUUGGAUGAGCCUGCACUUGAUUAGUUUGUUGGUGGGGUAAUGGCCUACCAAGACUGUGAUCAAUAGCUGAUUUGAGAGGAUGAUCAGCCACAUUGGGACUGAGACACGGCCCAAACUCCUACGGGAGGCAGCAGUGGGGAAUCUUGCACAAUGGAGGAAACUCUGAUGCAGCGAUGCCGCGUGAGUGAAGAAGGCCCUUGGGUUGUAAAGCUCUUUCGUCGGGGAAGAAAAUGACUGUACCCGAAUAAGAAGGUCCGGCUAACUUCGUGCCAGCAGCCGCGGUAAUACGAAGGGACCUAGCGUAGUUCGGAAUUACUGGGCUUAAAGAGUUCGUAGGUGGUUGAAAAAGUUAGUGGUGAAAUCCCAGAGCUUAACUCUGGAACUGCCAUUAAAACUUUUCAGCUAGAGUAUGAUAGAGGAAAGCAGAAUUUCUAGUGUAGAGGUGAAAUUCGUAGAUAUUAGAAAGAAUACCAAUUGCGAAGGCAGCUUUCUGGAUCAUUACUGACACUGAGGAACGAAAGCAUGGGUAGCGAAGAGGAUUAGAUACCCUCGUAGUCCAUGCCGUAAACGAUGUGUGUUAGACGUUGGAAAUUUAUUUUCAGUGUCGCAGGGAAACCGAUAAACACACCGCCUGGGGAGUACGACC
rnacentral:rRNA from 1 species